UCUCUUAUGUCUCCUGCAUUGCAGACGGGUUCUGUGCCACUGAGCUACCUGGGAAGGCCUUCGUGUAAUAUUUUUAUCCAAUUGUAGACCUCAUGCCCAUUCUCCCAUUUGUCCCGGUGUCCCCUGAUGGAGCAGUCAUUCAUAGCAUCUGGUUGUCCUCUCGUGUCUCCUUCUGUGGAACCAGCUCUCCGUCUGUCUUUGUGUUUCUCGCUGUUUACCCUUUAGGAGAGUGUGGCUGAGGGCGUGUGUGGAAGGUUCCUGCUCUGUCUGAUGUCUGCCUGGGGUUAGAUUCAGGUUUGUGCCUUUGGUGGGAACCCCUGGGGUUAGGCCAACCUCCUCUCAUGCCUCGGGUACCUGACUUUGAAACCACAUGGGCGUCUGGGAGUCUGGGUGAGGUUCUGAGACGAACCUGUGCUCUGGGCCUGCAUGCAUUCUGGUCAGGAGAGGUCAGGCCAAAGGUCAGUUGGCCUUCUAGUGAAAAGGCCAUGCCCCAUCUCUGUCGCAAUCAACAACCAACAGAACGUCAGGAUGGAUCUUUGAGGGGAAAAUAGUGACCUCUUGAUGUGUGUCAGAAUGGAUCUUUUGAGUGCUAACAGUGACCUCUUGAUAACAAUUGACUGAGUCCUGGACUCUCGCUGCUGAGGUGAACAUUCUCCAUUCCUGAUAAACAGGAUAUCGGACUCCCCUCAGAGAUGAUGCCUGCUCACCUGACUCCAUCCCAGAUCACAGGUGGGUUCCAGCCACCCAGUCCUGGCUUGGCCUUGACUUGAAUGGGUGUUCCCGCCAGGUGGUCUGCAGCACACUGGAACUUUCUUGAGCCUACUGAACAAAAUCUAUGAACAUCAUUUGUCCUUGCUGGCUACCGAAUGCAUUUAGUUCAACAACGUCUGUGUGUGUGUGAGGCAGAGUUGGUCCUAGGCUUGCUUUUACUGUAACCUCGUAGCUGGCUGUGGUGGGGGCUGCCGGCGUCACGGUCUUUGGAGUUGUCCCAGCUAAUGUCACCUUCCAGGAAGUUCCUUCGGUCCUACCACCAAAUGGGCUUCGUAAACAUCAGCUCUCUGUCUCCCUUCGUGGGAACCAGGGUUGUGGUGGAGCUGAUCGUGAGUCAUCGGGACCAGGGGUCUGUGGACCUGUCCCCAGAGGCCAGGCUAGGCACCAGGGUCACUCUGGCAGGUGCCCAGGGAUGUGGCUGGGUCAACAGGGCCCAUUUCACCCCUCCCAGCCCCCACUUUGCCUUCCACAAAGGUCAGUGCCUUGUAAGCACUUGCCCCAUUUUUCCUGGCUCUGGCCUAUCUCCUCUACCACCCACAACCUGAAUGCCUGUGCACAGCCAGGGAGCAGCGUCUGCAGGUCCCAGCCUGACCUGGCAGGAGGGCCUGGAAGGAACCAGGUCAGAGGCCUGGCAGGGCUGACUCGACGUUGAGCCAGGUGCCCGGGCUCCCUAAAUCCCCUCCAUCUGCAGGAAGCAGGUCCCAGCCCUGGGGGUGUGGCCAGGAGCUGGGGGUGGGCAGGCACUUCCUCAGACCCGGGGACACAGUGCUGUUUCCAGGGGGAUCUCACCCCCUGCCAGGGGUCUUUUGGUCCCUUGAGUCACUGUACUUCGGGCUGGUUUCUUGCACCCGGGAUGCUCAUGAGUUGGGCUUAGUUUUGGUGUGCUUGUUGGCAUUUGGUGGGUGCUUCGCUUGUGCUCGGUCCUUUGCUACAAGCUGACUUAACCCUGCAACAACCCUGGAGAGAUGUUGUUAUUAUCCUGAUGUACAGAGGGGAAAGCAGACCCAGAGAGGUUAGGAAUCAUGCCUGGCCAUUAACCAGCAGAAAGCUGUAGUAUGCUCACUCAUGUCUGACUCUUUGCGACCCCGUGGACUGUAGCCCACCCGGCUUCUCUGUCCCUGGCAUUUCCCAGGCGAGAAUACUGGAGUGGGUUGCCAUUUCCUUCGCCAGGGGAUCUUCCUGACCCAGGGGUCAAACCCACAUCUCCUGUGUCUUCUGCAUUGCAGGCAGAUUUCUUUAACCACUGAGCCGUCAGGAAAGAGUUCAACUCCUUGAACUCUUAGUAAAUGUGCGUUAGGUAAGGUUAGUGACUGAUACAACUUGAGCAUCCGUGCCUUUGUUUCUGGGUGACUGUCGAGGGUCAGGGUACAGACUCUUCUCCAGGAGCAGGGAGGGGGCUGGGCUUUCGUCAGGCACCCACCGUUGUGCUAUGCUGAGGUGGGACCUGGCUUGAACCCUGAGAGGCGAGCGGGCUUGAGAAGGGUGAGUGUGGAGAGGGUAUCUCACCCACCCGACCUAGGAAGGCAUGGUGACUUUGGCCUCAUUCCACUUUGGGAGGAGCAACAGAGCUGCUCACUUCUUGAUGGAAUGUGAUAGGCUUAACUGGCAGAGUGAAAUACAAGUUAGAAAAAGGAGAUGGUAAACAAACCCCUCCCGUGUCUGCAGGGAUGUGACAUUCUGGAGUGAACAGUUCUGUUGCUACAUGCCGGGAAGUAAGGGGGUGGUUUCAGUCUUGUUGGAGGUGUUUGCUGUCUUUCUUGGUGUGUGUUAAUCUUCUGAGGCUGUGGAUGGCCAUCGGAGCCACGUGGCCAAUCUCUUCUCAGCGGUAGUUCUCGGCUGCCACCUCCACCCCCAGGCAUAAGGGCUAGACUGUGUCCUGUGAUACAUUGGCGGCUCCCCCUACAGCCUGUGGGUGGUGGGGCUGGGACUGUGGACUCCAGAGCCACAGGGCCCAAGGUGGAGGCUCAUCCCCAACCCCAGCUACUCUCCUGGGUGGUUUAGAGCUGCAGCAAUGAGCGUCUCCAUUCUGGUGCCUGGAGGUCAGCGAUCAAAGUGCUCGCAGGCUCAAGUUCCCUCUGGUGACUCCAGGGGAGGGUGCUUCUUUGCCUCUCCUGGCCUCCAGUGUCGCUGGCCCUCAUCCUUGGCCUCGCUUGGCUGGAAGGUGCUUCCUUCCACUCACAUGGCCGUCUCCUGCUUUUGUUUUCACAUUGUCUUCCCUCAGGUGGGCCCAUCUCUGUGUGCACACUUCUUUUUACAAGGACACCAAUUACAUUAGAUUAGGGCCCACCCUAAUGACCUCAUCUCGGAGGAGGAAAUGGCAACCCACUCCAGUAUUAUUGCCUGGGGAAUCCCAUGGACAGAGGAGCCUGGUGGGCUGAAGUCCAUGGGAUCACAGAGUCAGACACGCAAUAUCCUCGCUUUAACUUGAUUGCCUCACGGUCACAUUCUGAGCUACUCUCGGGGGUAGGAGUCCAAUAUAUCUUUUUGGAAGAAGAGAAUUCGACCCAUAACUUGAGCUACUUUGGACAAGUUACUUGACAUCUGCAUACUUCAUUUUCUUUAUCUGCAGAACAGAUAAUAUUGGGUUGACCAAGAAGUUCAGAUUUUUUUCUGUGCCAUCUUACAGGAAAACCUGAAGGAACUCUGUGGACAACCCAGUGCAUCCUAAUACUAACCUCACCGGGCUGUUGGGAUGAUUAACUAAGCGAAUAUGUAAAUAACAUGCUUGGAACAGAGUUAGGAGCUUCGUAGGUGCCCUGGGAGAGAGAGUAACUCCUAUCAUUAUCCCUCCUCAUGGUCACAGACCUGUAGGAGGUGUACAUGCUUGCUGAGGGUGUGAAGUUGAAUUAGGACCUGGAGGUGGCUCUGAGGGAGGCUGGCAUGGAGUUCAGUGUCACUCUGUGUGGCUGACUGCUCCCAGAGAGCCCUGAGCCUGAUCUGGAAUUAACUCUCUCAUUCUUCUUUUUCAAAGAAUUGUUUUCAAAGCUGGUGAGGCUUGGAUACUCCUCAGAGAGCCAGGGAGAGCUUCAGUCUUCAACCUGGGUCUGGAGCCAGAACUUGGGGCUGGGUGGGACCCCUGGAGUGCUCCAGUUGCCCGAGGAUUAAUAGCAGAUGGACUGAAUCACGCGGAACUUGGCGGAUUCUUCCCCGUCCCUUAACCAGGGCUAUCGGACUCUGGAGGUGGGAUUCCUUGGCAUCCCUUCCUGGGUCGACUCCUCUGGGUUCAAGCCUAGGAGGGCAGGUCUGCCCGUGUGUGAUCCUAAGACAUUGUCUUCCUGGCCACUGUGGGGUGAGUGGUGCUUCCUUGGGGUAUUAGGGAAGGGAGUCUUACUCCUCCAUCCAACCGCUGGAAAGAUAGGCACGAACCUGUGAUUCAGGGAGGGGACCAUUUCCUGCCCGAUGAUUCUCAGUCCUGGGUUUGAGAAGCAUACCAGCUCCAGGGGAGGGGAAAGGCGUGUACUGAAGGCUGUUGGAAGCCUGUCAGGUUCACUCUGGAAGUAGAUCCAGGCCAACAGAGUGUUCCGAAGAAAGAAUCGAUUAUAAUUUGCCAUCAAUGCAUCCUCAUUUUAUGGCACAUGGCUGUUUUUCCAACACAUAUAACAUGUACUUUUUAUAAUUUUGUUUAUUUUUCACUUAGCAACCCUUUCUGGUACAGAUGGAAUCAGAAUACAUUUCACCCGAGUCCUGUUUCAAGUGCCAGGACUACCUUUACUGGGCUAGUGUAGCCAGAUCAAGCCUGAGACACCCCCAGGUGAGGCGCUGCAGACUCUGUGGGUGAGAAGGCAUGAAUCCCAGUUGCCAGACUGAAUCCAGCGAGAACUGGCAUAUGAGUGACUCUCAUGGAGGGAGUUGUCCUGCUCAGAGGACCUCAGUGUCAGGAGCCAAAGACAUGGCCCUGGUGGUUGUGAGCAGUCCAAGUCCUCAGGCAGCAGCUCUCAACCCUGGCAGGUGGUACAGAGACCACGCGGGAACGUGAAGGUAUUGCCUGGCCCAGCCCCACCUCUCCUGUCCAGGUCUCAUUGGUGAGGAAGUGCCCUGGCAUUGAUAUUCGUCAAACACCUAUUAGGGGCAGCAGAGACGAGAACCCCUGGAAUAGCUUGUCUCAAGUUUUGUCCACAUCAGAAUCGUCAGGGGGUUGGGGGGUGUUUCCCUAGCCCCAGUUGUUCAGUCCCUCAUCUAGUUUCUUUUUUGGAAAAGUAAUUUUAUUUAUUUAUUUUGUGGCUGGCCUGGAUCUUUGUUGCCGCAGGGGCUUUUCGCGGGUUGCGGUGAGCGGAGGCCCACUCUCUAGCUGUGGUACAUGGGCUUUUCGGUGCAGCGGCUUCUCGUCGAGCAUGCGCUCUAGGCACGUGGGCUUCCGCAGUUGUGACGCUGUGGCUGCGGUUCCUGAGCCCGAGAGAACAAGCGCAACAGUUGUGGCACAGAAGUUCAGUUGCUCCGUGGCACGUGGGGUUUUCCCAUAUCAGGGAUCGAACCCAUGUCUCCUGUGUCUCCUGCAUCGGCAGGGAGAUUCUUUACCACUGAGCCACCUGGGAAGCCCCCUUCUCUAGUUUCUGAUUGGAUGCUCUGAGGUGGGGGCUCAGAAUCUGCAUUCCCUGAACAUUAGGGUAUUAUUUAUUUUUUUUGAUCUCGCCAUGUGCCCUGCAGGAUCUUAGUUCCCUAAGCAGGGAUUGAACCUGUGCUCCCUGCAGUGGAAGCGCAGAGUCCAAACCACUGAACCAGGGAAGUCCCCAGAAUCUGCGUUUCUAAUGAGCUCCCAGGAUGCUCUGAUGUCGUCCAGGCCACACUUUGAGAAUUCCUUCCCCAGGGCUUGGUCACAGCCUCCCUGAUUCUUGCUGAGCCAGUGCCCUCUGCUUCCUAGCCGUGCCCCUUGGUCCCCCUUCCUCCAGCUGGGGCACUUGCUAUGCCCUCUAUACUGGUAUGGCCUUCGCUGAGCUCUGGGUUAGCCCUGACAAGAUAGAGAAAAAAGUGUUUUGCUCUGCUUUUCUCAACCCAGAGGAGAUGGGAAUGCUUCAAAAGGCAUUCUAUCUGGGGGAGAAAUGGGUUCCCUGAAGAACUGAUGCUUUCAAACUGUGGUGCUGGAGAAGACUCUUGAGAGUCCCUUGGACUGCAGGGAGAGCAAACCAGUCAAUCCUAUAGGAAACCAACC